rnacentral:rRNA from 1 species
UGGGGAAUCUUGCGCAAUGGACGAAAGUCUGACGCAGCGACGCCGCGUGGGUGAUGAAGGCCUUCGGGUUGUAAAGCCCUGUGGGGAGAGAAGAAUUAGUGCAGUCUAAUACAUUGCAUGAUGACGGUAUCUCCUUAGCAAGCACCGGCUAACUCUGUGCCAGCAGCCGCGGUAAGACAGAGGGUGCAAACGUUGUUCGGAAUUACUGGGCGUAAAGCGUGUGUAGGCGGUCUCAUAAGUCGGAUGUGAAAGCCCCAGGCUCAACCUGGGAAGUGCACUCGAUACUGUGAGACUUGAGUAUCGGAGAGGUUGGUGGAAUUCUCGGUGUAGAGGUGAAAUUCGUAGAUAUCGAGAGGAACACCGGUGGCGAAGGCGGCCAACUGGACGAAUACUGACGCUGAGACACGAAAGCGUGGGGAGCAAACAGGAUUAGAUACCCCGGUAGUCC